rnacentral:rRNA from 1 species
AUUCCAGCUCCAAUAGCGAAUACUAAUUCUGCUGCAGUUAAAAAGCUCGUAGUUGAACUUCUGGUAGGACAGAUCCGGCCUUUGGAUGAAUGUCCAUUGUAUGCUGUGUGUCUUGUCUGGCCAUCCUUUAUGUCUUUUAGGCGUAAUCUUUCACUGUAAAAAAAUUAGGGUGUUUCAAGCAAAAGUUAUUUGGAAUAUAUUAGUAUGGGAUGAUAAGAUAGGCUCUUGAGUGCUACUUUGUUGGUUUCGAACACCGGAGUAAUGAUUAACAGGGACAGUCAGGGGCACUCGUAUUCCGCCGAGAGAGGUGAAAUUCUCAGACCAGCGGAAGACGAACCACUGCGAGAGCAUUUGCCAGGGAUGUUUUCAUUG